AUUGAACGCUAGCGGCAUGCCUUACACAUGCAAGUCGAACGAGUGGCGGACGGGUGAGUAAUAUAUGGGAACGUGCCCAGUAGCGGGGGAUCACUACGCGAAAGAGUGGCUAAUACCGCAUACUCUUGGAGCGGCCGAUAUGGGAUUGGCUAGUGGGUGGGGUAAAGGCUCACCAAGGCAACGAUCCGUAGCUGGUGUGAGAGGACGACCAGCCACACUGGGACUGAGACACGGCCCAGACUCCUACGGGAGGCAGCAGUGGGGAAUAUUGGACAAUGGGGGAAACCCUGAUGCAGCCAUCCCGCGUGUAUGAGAAGGCCUUCGGGUUGUAAAGUACUUUUGGCAGAGAAGCGGUAUCUGCAGAAUAAGCACCGGCUAACUCCGUGCCAGCAGCCGCGGUAAUAC
rnacentral:rRNA from 1 species